GUGCGAAAGCGUGGGGAGCAAACAGGAUUAGAUACCCUGGUAGUCCACGCCGUAAACGAUGUCGAUUUGGAGGUUGUGCCCUUGAGGCGUGGCUUCCGGAGCUAACGCGUUAAAUCGACCGCCUGGGGAGUACGGCCGCAAGGUUAAAACUCAAAUGAAUUGACGGGGGCCCGCACAAGCGGUGGAGCAUGUGGUUUAAUUCGAUGCAACGCGAAGAACCUUACCUGGUCUUGACAUCCACAGAACUUUCCAGAGAUGGAUUGGUGCCUUCGGGAACUGUGAGACAGGUGCUGCAUGGCUGUCGUCAGCUCGUGUUGUGAAAUGUUGGGUUAAGUCCCGCAACGAGCGCAACCC
rnacentral:rRNA from 1 species